rnacentral:rRNA from 1 species
AGUCGAACGGUAACAGGCCUUCGGGCGCUGACGAGUGGCGAACGGGUGAGUAAUGCAUCGGAACGUGCCCAGUCGUGGGGGAUAACGCAGCGAAAGCUGUGCUAAUACCGCAUACGAUCUAUGGAUGAAAGCGGGGGACCGUAAGGCCUCGCGCGAUUGGAGCGGCCGAUGUCAGAUUAGCUAGUUGGUGGGGUAAAGGCCUACCAAGGCGACGAUCUGUAGCUGGUCUGAGAGGACGACCAGCCACACUGGGACUGAGACACGGCCCAGACUCCUACGGGAGGCAGCAGUGGGGAAUUUUGGACAAUGGGCGCAAGCCUGAUCCAGCAAUGCCGCGUGCAGGAAGAAGGCCUUCGGGUUGUAAACUGCUUUUGUACGGAGCGAAAAGGCUCUCUCUAAUACAGGGGGCUCAUGACGGUACCGUAAGAAUAAGCACCGGCUAACUACGUGCCAGCAGCCGCGGUAAUACGUAGGGUGCAAGCGUUAAUCGGAAUUACUGGGCGUAAAGCGUGCGCAGGCGGUUGUGUAAGACAGGCGUGAAAUCCCCGGGCUCAACCUGGGAAUGGCGCUUGUGACUGCACAGCUGGAGUGCGGCAGAGGGGGAUGGAAUUCCGCGUGUAGCAGUGAAAUGCGUAGAUAUGCGGAGGAACACCGAUGGCGAAGGCAAUCCCCUGG